UUCACAUAGCUGGUUUCUGUGACUUAAGCACGCUUUACUCACUGGGUGCGAGAAAUUCAAAGCAAGAUGAGAAGAGAAAGAAAAGUGAAACUCGUAGACACAUAAAACGAGGAGAAGCACAGGAAUGAGGAAAGCGUGUAAAUAAGCACCUGUAUCUCAUGAUGCCCUCCUGUAACUCUGUUAGCCGACUAACAUCCUUCAAGGCUUUCCUGAUUCUGGUAUCCAGCUUUCUUCUUCUUCAUGACGGGCAUUCUUGAUAUUCAGGAUUUCUGCUGAGGGGGCUCAGUGACUAAUUUGCUGGACCUGGAUGCCCAAGGCUCUUUCAUAACCACGACACUGCUUCAGCGACAGGCAGGAUUCACAUGUUUGCAUCAUCCUUGCACACUACUGUGUCACUGUUUCCUGAUAGGAAGGUACAUUUAGCAUUGCUUUCAUAUCCUCCUGAGAACCAGCUUGUUCAUUUAUUUCCUCUGCAAUGGACAUUUGUUUUUAGUCUAUGUCUUUUGACUCAUUUGAGAUAUCUUACUAUGUCCUGAUCUACUAAAUAGAGGCCAUCCCGGGCUUUCCAUUGAUGCCUGAUGUGUUUGGGUGGUUUCUUAUAGCUUCAAAGAGGAAGGAAAUCAUAAAAAAAGUUCAAUGGAAAGAUUCUUUUGUACUCGGUUCUGAGGACGAUAUAUCCACAUGAGUCAUUGUAUGGAAGUUCAUUCAAUCCAUCAUAUUGAGCCUUUUAUAUUAUUUUCUGAUUUUUUGAUGCUGAUUUUCUGCAAAGUGAAACUUCAUAAGUCUGUACAGGUUUUGCUUUGUGUAGCCACAUGUGGAGUUUCUGUGCAUUGUAGGCAUGUUAAUGAUUAAAUGCUGCACAUCUUUCUUUGCUCAUUGUCCAUUAAAUGUUGGCUGCCUCACCUGCUUGGCUGUCUGAAUCCCACACGUCACGCCACAAAUCACGCUUGUUUUCUCAUGAGUAAUUAGUUUUGGCUGUCACUGUCACUUGUUACUGUCAUUACUGCAGUCCAAUCAUCUUCUUGCCUGCCUUCUUCGAACCAUCAGCCUUCGUGUCGCAUGGUUUAAAUCUGUGCUCUCCAUCAUUUUCAUGGAUUGUAGUUGCAGGGCUUCUCCUUCAUCUACAUAAUCUGGACUGGACAGGUGACUAAUGAUGUCAUUUAUAUCUGUAGUGUGUGCUACAGCCCUGAGCAUCAUUUGAGAAAUGUUGAUACUGAACAACAUAAGCAGUGGAGUUAAUCAGAUAUCAGUAAAGUCUGUGAUGCUCUGUGUUUAAUGUAU